rnacentral:sRNA from 14 species
AAGGGCGGUUUGACAUAUCCACAUUCUCUAAAGAAAUAUAAAGAGGUGUACAACAAGAAUGGACAUA